AACCCUCGAACCCCUCCGGGGGGUCGGCGUUGGGGAUCGGCCCCUCACCGGGCCGCCCCCGAAAUACAGUGGCGGUCUCGCCGCAGCCUCUCCUGCGCAGUAGUUUGCACACU
rnacentral:rRNA from 1 species